GAUGACAACACCGUCGUUACCCCGACGGCCAGGGGCUGUACGUGGAAACCCUGAAGCGUAAACCAGACCAGAGUAAAGCCUUUGAGUUGACCAGCAAGUGGGACGCCAGCAGCCACUUCCUCGACGGGGGCGGCUUCACCCGUUUCGCCAACUGGCGGUUCAUCCACCGUGCCCAGCUCAACUGCGUCCCGCUCAAUGGAGCCGUCCACCACGGGAACCGAGACAAGCGUUGCAGGAAGUGCGGCUACCCCAACAAGACCCUGCCCCACGUCCUGUGCAGCUGCAAACCCCACUCCAGAGCCUGGCAGCUGCGCCACAACGCCAUCCAGAACCGCCUGGUGAAAGCCAUCGCGCCACACCUGGGGGAGAUCUCCGUGAACUGCACCAUCGCCGGUACUGACAGCCAGCUACGACCUGACGUGGUAGUCACCGACGAGGCCCAGAAAAAGAUCAUCCUCGUCGACGUCACGGUCUCCUUUGAGUACAGGACCCCGGCAUUUCGCAAAGCCCGAGCUUGUAAGCUGGAAAAGUACGCCCCCCUGGCUGACAUCCUGAGAGCGAAGGGCUAUGAGGUGCAGAUGGACGCCCUGAUUGUCGGAGCCCUGGGUGCCUGGGACCCCUGCAACGAGCGUGGGCUGCAGACCUGCAGGAUUGGUCGACGCUACGCACGUCUCAUGUGGCGCCUCAUGGUCUCAGACGCCAUCCGAUGGUCCACGGACAUCUACAUCGAGCACAUCACCGGCCACCGACAGUACCAGGAGGCGUGAGCCAGAGCGACAUCGUUCUCCCACUACGAGAAAGGGACCAAGUGACCUUCUCUGUUGGAUCAUAUGAACUGGAACCAUAAACUCCCUGAACAUUAAAUCUUACCAAAUGAGGGUCAAUCCAUCAUCAUCAUAUCCACUCAUUAUAAUCCACACCCGAACAUAGCCACUUUAUGAACUUCAUACCCUCAUAUCUUAAUGUCUGUACUUUGACCCAUCAUCCUUUUACCCCCAAUUGGGGAUAUUGCAGAUUAUGUAUUCCUCAUGCCACUUUAUCUUAAACCAAACUUUGCACCCUCGAUAAUCUGUAUGUUAUUCCCUGAUAACAGAGUUUGAGCAUAGAAAUUUCUGGUUCACUAU
rnacentral:lncRNA from 1 species